GAUGAACGCUAGCUACAGGCUUAACACAUGCAAGUAGAGGGGCAGCAUGAAUAAAGUUUCGGCUUUAUUUGAUGGCGACCUGCGAAUGGGUGAGUAACACGUAUCCAACCUGCCUGUUACUGGAGGAUAGCCUCCCGAAAGGGAAAUUAACACUCCAUAUUAUAUAGAUGAGGCAUCUUGUUUAUAUGAAAGUUUCACGGUAACGGAUGGGGAUGCGUCCCAUUAGAUAGUAGGCGGGGUAACGGCCCACCUAGUCGACGAUGGGUAGGGGUUCUGAGAGGAAGGUCCCCCACAUUGGGAACUGAGACACGGUCCAAACUCCUACGGGAGGCAGCAGUGAGGAAUAUUGGUCAAUGGGCGAGAGCCUGAACCAGCCAAGUAGCGUGCAGGAUGACGGCCCCUAUGGGUUGUAAACUGCUUUUAUGUGGGAAUAAAGUCAGGGACGUGUCCUUGUCUGCAUGUACCACAGGAUAAGGACCGGCUAAUUCCGUG
rnacentral:rRNA from 1 species